UACGUAGGGGGCGAGCGUUGUCCGGAGUUACUGGGGCGUAAAAGGGCAUGCAGGCGGUCGGACGCGUUUUUUGUGUGACAGCGGGUGGCUCAACUGCGCGAGCAUACGAAAAGACGGUUUGACUUGAGGGCUCGAGAGGGACACGGAAUUCCGGGUGGAGUGGUGAAAUGCGUAGAGAUCCGGAGGAACACCGAAGGCGAAAGGCAGUGUCCUGGCGAGUGACUGACGCUUGAGGGUGCGAAAAGCCCAGGGGGGAGCGAACGGG
rnacentral:rRNA from 1 species